GUCUCCAUUUCCUACUCUGCAGUGGCAACCACACUGUGGAUUGAUGGAGAGACCAAGGAGAGAUGUGAUGAGGGCAGAGCACCGUCCCAAGCCCGAGCAGGCUCCCAGUUAUCCCUAGAGGUGGCCAUGGUGCUGUGACAAACUCUGGCCUUGGCCCAUCGAGGUCAUCUCAGGGGCCUACUUGAGAUUUCCAAACUAUGGAUAUCAGAACUGAGUUAGCUGCCGAGUAGGAAAAAAUCCGUGCUGGCCUCCACCAUAUGCCUCCUCCCAUUGCCUGCUCCUCACACCACCAUACACACACUGUGCAGUCCCCACCACCAGCUGCUUCAGAGCAGCCAGGUGAGGGAGGUGAUAUUCACAGCCUGUGAUCAAAAGGGCAUUUCUGCACCCAAGCCUCAGGAGAGUCCACAGUGAUGUCCCGAAACCCUCUGACCCUCCCAGGGAGAGAACUCCACUAGACAGACAGGAAAUGGGGCAUGGGGCUCCAGCACCCACACCCAGCCAGGUCACUGCAGUGACCACAGAGGCCUCAGCAGCAGCUGCCACCCCUCGGACUUUCAGCUCUCAGGUAACACCCUCCCUUUCCAUUUCUGUUUCCUCAGGUUUGUCUCUAAAAAGGUAUUUUAUCACUUGACGGUUGAUCGGCCUGUGAUCUACGAUGGAAGUGAUUUCCUGUAGCUUCAGCACCUCAGUAACUUCACUUCAUCCACAGGAAACACUGCUCUUCCUCACCUGUCACAUAAAGCAUUUUUUUAAAAAGUCAGCUGCUCCAAAAUCAUCAACUCAGCCCCUGGGCUGCCCCUCAGAGGCGGUG
rnacentral:lncRNA from 1 species